AUGAACGCUAGCUACAGGCUUAACACAUGCAAGUCGAGGGGCAGCAUGGUCUUAGCUUGCUAAGGCCGAUGGCGACCGGCGCACGGGUGAGUAACACGUAUCCAACCUGCCGUCUACUCUUGGACAGCCUUCUGAAAGGAAGAUUAAUACAAGAUGGCAUCAUGAGUCCGCAUGUUCACAUGAUUAAAGGUAUUCCGGUAGACGAUGGGGAUGCGUUCCAUUAGAUAGUAGGCGGGGUAACGGCCCACCUAGUCUUCGAUGGAUAGGGGUUCUGAGAGGAAGGUCCCCCACAUUGGAACUGAGACACGGUCCAAACUCCUACGGGAGGCAGCAGUGAGGAAUAUUGGUCAAUGGGCGAGAGCCUGAACCAGCCAAGUAGCGUGAAGGAUGACUGCCCUAUGGGUUGUAAACUUCUUUUAUAAAGGAAUAAAGUCGGGUAUGGAUACCCGUUUGCAUGUACUUUAUGAAUAAGGAUCGGCUAACUCCGUGCCAGCAGCCGCGGUAAUACGGAGGAUCCGAGCGUUAUCCGGAUUUAUUGGGUUUAAAGGGAGCGUAGAUGGAUGUUUAAGUCAGUUGUGAAAGUUUGCGGCUCAACCGUAAAAUUGCAGUUGAUACUGGAUAUCUUGAGUGCAGUUGAGGCAGGCGGAAUUCGUGGUGUAGCGGUGAAAUGCUUAGAUAUCACGAAGAACUCCGAUUGCGAAGGCAGCCUGCUAAGCUGCAACUGACAUUGAGGCUCGAAAGUGUGGGUAUCAAACAGGAUUAGAUACCCUGGUAGUCCACACGGUAAACGAUGAAUACUCGCUGUUUGCGAUAUACAGCAAGCGGCCAAGCGAAAGCGUUAAGUAUUCCACCUGGGGAGUACGCCGGCAACGGUGAAACUCAAAGGAAUUGACGGGGGCCCGCACAAGCGGAGGAACAUGUGGUUUAAUUCGAUGAUACGCGAGGAAGCUGACCCGGGCUUAAAUUGCAGAUGAAUUACGGUGAAAGCCGUAAGCCGCAAGGCAUCUGUGAAGGUGCUGCAUGGUUGUCGUCAGCUCGUGCCGUGAGGUGUCGGCUUAAGUGCCAUAACGAGCGCAACCCUUGUUGUCAGUUACUAACAGGUUCCGCUGAGGACUCUGACAAGACUGCCAUCGUAAGAUGUGAGGAAGGUGGGGAUGACGUCAAAUCAGCACGGCCCUUACGUCCGGGGCUACACACGUGUUACAAUGGGGGGUACAGAGGGCCGCUACCACGCGAGUGGAUGCCAAUCCCAAAAACCUCUCUCAGUUCGGACUGGAGUCUGCAACCCGACUCCACGAAGCUGGAUUCGCUAGUAAUCGCGCAUCAGCCACGGCGCGGUGAAUACGUUCCCGGGCCUUGUACACACCGCCCGUCAAGCCAUGGGAGCCGGGGGUACCUGAAGUGCGUAACCGCGAGGAGCGCCCUAGGGUAAAACUGGUGACUGGGGCU
rnacentral:rRNA from 1 species